rnacentral:lncRNA from 1 species
GGCUCCAGAAGCAUAAGCCUGCGUGGAGCACAGCGUCACUGAGCAAGACAGGUGUGGAGGAUGAGAAGCGGGCCACAGGAUGGGAAGGGAAUCUGUGUGGAGACGGUGCCCUAAACAUGCUGCCUUGAGGAGGGACCUCUGCAUGGGGUGGCCGGGCACAGCCAGGCUACCCAUGGGGACCUCAACAGCUUUGCCAUUGCACACUAUCUUUGCAGACAAGAUCUUAAUCACAUCCAACUUUCUGCAGUUGCACAGGGUACCUCAGACCCACAUCCCAGAUGACAUUCCUCAGAAGCUCGCAGCUGGAGAUGACAUCACCUUAGACAACAUCACCCUAGCCCAAGACAUCGCUAUUAGAGAUACAUCACCUGGACACUAAAGCCUCCACCCCAGUGACACUCUCAAGGUGCUGACAAAAUGGACAUGGACAUUUGUUGCUUUUCUUCUUUUGAAUUAGGAACUCUAUUGUGUUUCCUGAAUUUACUGUCUGCUUGGCCCGUGAUCCUGGUAUGUUCCUUGCUCUCUGCCAAAACAUGCACCCUCCCCUCCACACCUAAAGGAAAACCUGGUAGAAGCUACUACUCUCAAUGCCAUUCUAAA